UAUGCUUGCGGUCCGUGGGGCGACUUGCUGAAGCCUUUGGUCACAUUAAGCAACAUUACAUGAUAAUGCUGCAGCACUUUCAGGCUGAGGGAGAAGGAAAACAAAACAGAUGACUCUGGAUGGAAAGGCAUUGCUGUAAACCUGGGAGGGAGAAGAACAUUCCUUUGGAUACUUUUUUUGGCUGGUUGUGUCCUCCCCUCCCCGCCUCCCACCUCUCUCCUCCUCCCCCUCCCCUUGGAGAAUUUGUGACAGCAAGGGUUUUUUUGUUGUUCUAUUAUUUUUUUUAACUAACAUUUCCAUAUUAAAUAGAAAGGAAGAGUGUGAAAGGCCAUGCAGUGGUGGCAGCUAGACAGUGGAAUCUGUAACUGAAGGGUGGAGCGCGAGCACUGGAGAGGUGCCUGUUAUUUAUAGGGUAUGAGUGAACACAAAAAAUGUCUGGCCCCUUUAAGGCCCCUUAAUCCAAACAACCAAUGGAAAGAAAAAAAUGGGAAAAAAGAGAGGAAAUAAAGAAAAUAAAACAAAACGAGGAGAAAAGGCAUCUCUGCAGCAGACUGCGAAGCAUGAAGGAGGACGGGGCGAUGGCGUGGCACAACACGACCCCUAGCCGGACCUGAACCCAGUGUCCUCCGGGAGCCACAGCCUCGGCGAGGAGACCACAGGCAGCCCCAGGCACAGCUGCCUCGAGGGUGGGACAAUGAGGCUGUUUCGAGCAUGAGAUGAGAAGUUCAAGGAAAUUAAGAAGGAGAAGCUGAGCACAUCAGAAGCACGGGCCAGAAAUUCACUCUCUUUGGUCUCCAUUAGAGCAACCAGGGAUCUCUGCAUGCCAAGGUGAGCAUCAGAGCCUGGGAGAUGCGGCCAUUUACUGCCCUCACUCUUGCUUUGGGAUGCAUAAACUGGAAGAUCAUUGCUGAGGCACAAAUGCUCCUUCCCCUUCGCUUAAGGCUGCUGAGGUCUCGGCAGGAGCCCUGUGCCUGGCUGCAGGCAUCUUGCUGCAAAAAAAAUGGGGUGCAAGGAAAGCAUGGUCUGACCAGAGCGGGACAAAUGGCCACGGUCCUGUGCAACCUGCAAAGAGAUACUGAAAGGACUGUGGUUGUUUAGACUAGAGAGAAGGCCGAAGAUAUUAAAAUAGUCUUCAAAUAUGUAAUAAGUUGUACCAAAGAAGAAAAGGGUAAACUGUUCUCCAAGUUCACUGGACAAGAAGAAGUGGGAUUAGUCUGCAGCAAAAGGAAGGACAAAGCUUUCUUGUGGCCCGGUAUUUCAGCACAGACGUGGAUGCUCUGGGAAGGCCUUUGUCAGUGCUGGUGUAAGCAGGGUUACUCUGCUCACUCUGGAAGAUCAUCCCUUCCAGCCCUUUCUAGGACUUUCCUAGGAGUCCUGAUUGAUUUUAGCCCAGCUGAACUGUGUUUUCCCUCUACAAGAUCUCCUUCCUGAAGAGGAAAGAGAGGAACCUCAGUGCAAAGAGGUGCCACACAAAGUCACAGCAUUUCUGUGCUCUAAGCAAAGCUCCUUUUUGCUUUCUUUCCAAAAUAAAUGCAUUAAGUUAUGCCUAUCUCUUCUAAGCAGACAUAAGGGAAUUGUGAAGAGGUCCUGGAAGACACUCAGCACUUAGGUGAUUUAGUGCACAACAAAGUGGGUAAGUCAUCAACUUCAAUGGAUACACACCUGGAACCAGAGAAACUGAAGACAGACAAUUCUUUGGACAGAGAGGGGUUGGUAAAGAGAUUCAAGAACUUGAGUGGAUGACAGUGACACUAAAUCCUCAGGUCUUUUCACAACCCCUGCUCUUAUUCCCUAGGAUCCUGUUGAACCCAUGAGCCUUCACUAAUAGGUUUCAUUCUUCUCUGCCAGUAUCAAAUAACAAAUGUCAGAUCUCAUAUGGGAACCACUAACAACAUAAAAAUAAGAUUUAUACGGAAAGAUGAAGUUCAAAAGAACAGUUACAAAAUGCAGAAAGGUUUUGUUUGUACCCAAUCACACACAAAUAAAAUCAAAAUCAAAACACCGCUGUUCAGGACUGGGCUCACCAUCACCCAUGACCUUCUCCCACCAUCACUGCAAUUUUGAAUGCUGGACACCGGCUACAAAUUAAUUUGCUGAAACUGAGGAAAAUGCUUCCCUGAUGUGUAAACAAGAAAAGGCUAAACAUGCAUUAGCUAAUCCCAGACUUCAGCUGAUCGCUCUUGGUUCAAACUCUAUGCUAAUACUCCCUCUAGCUUUCCUUUCUCCAAAGAGAAGGGCUCCAAAGCUGUAGAUCUGCUCCUCACCUUUCAACCUUGUGAGAAGGACAACAGCGUUACAAUGGCAAAAUCCUCGAGUGCCAGCUGGUGAUGCUGGUUUAGUUGAGUGCCAGCUGGUGAUGAUGCUGGUUUAGUUUUUCCGGUGACCACAGAGAAGCCGAAGGCAUCUCAGAUGUGGAAAAAUGGAUGCACGGAGAGGUAACAAGACUUGACUGCAGAAGGGAGAGGCAGAUCCUCAAGAGGCAUAAAUCAUUCCAGCUCUUCUGAUGUCAGCACCCCAGGGAGGUCGGGCCAGCGUCGAGAGGAGCAGCAAGGAAGAGGAGGGCUGAGCCUCUUCCUGCUUGUCACUACGCGAGUCCAGGAAAGUCGGACCCCGGCUCUCCUCCUGCUCUGGACUUCUGCCACCAUCUCAUCCUGCUCGGAGAAUCUGUCAGCACACCUCAACCCUCGAAAACUGGGGCUCAAGCCAAGGCCCUCAAAAGGGAGCAAAGGAAGGAUGGGAGACGGAGUCCAAAAGUGUCUUUCCGCUCUAAAGGUGAGCCCUUUGGAACAAACUGGAGUCACAUUGGCUCUGCCUGGGGACAGCCUGCCAGUGGCUGUUUGAUAUGUGGAGUGAACGAAAAUGCUACCCCCACGCGAUGAUGUUCCAGCACCUUUCAGCACCAACUUGCCUUUUCCUUUAUCUUUUUUUGUUUUAAAUACAGACUCUCGGGAAAGCAACUUAACAGACCAAGCUGCAAAGCAGAGACAGAAUAGAAUUGUCUUUUUUUUGGCUUCCAAUACAAGAAUGCAAAGCAUUGUCUCUCUGGGAGGAGAAUUAAGUAUGGGCAAGUGUUUUGGCAAGAGAGCCACGGAGGAGAAUGGAAGGCGAGGAUGAGGCGGGGGAAGAGGAGGGGAGGGAGAGCUGGGGGUCAGAUGGAUGGUUUGGUCUUUUAUAAAUCUUGGAUGGAGAAGAGGCACACAGAUGGCUUUGUGUUUUAAAAUUAUUCUAAUAAAUCAACUCCAUAAUCAUAAUCAAAAUGCCCUUGUCUCUCUCUUCCCCCUCUUCCAUGUAUCACAGCUGAGCAACAAGGCUGGAGUGUGUGUCUGGAGAGGGAAUGGCAAGCGCUCAGGACAAAAACAGACCGUGGCGAGAGAGCGAGGGGAAGCGUGCGAGGCAAGCGUGCAAAUGUGCGUGCAUGCGUGACCACAGCGGGGUGCGGGAGCCACCACAAGCACCUUGUGACAGCAGCCUGAGAGCGAACAAACAACAUGAGCAGGGAGGGAAGGAGCACGGGGGGCUCUACAGCACGCGGCAGGCGAGCUGCUUUCGGUGCGAGGGCGGGCACGUCCUGCAGGAGGGGACCAUUUCAAGGCAGGAACGUGCAAACGCGUGCAGGAAGAAGGUCCGAGCGUGAGAGCGAGCCUGCAACUAUCUGCAAAGAGAGGAGCUAUCCCGAUGGCGGGGGAAGGAGUGGGAAAAGGCAAGGUCUCAUCUCUCCCAGGCGGGAGUGGACGUGCUGGGGAGGAAUGCUGCGUCCCCGUUCCAGUGCUCGCUCUUGGCUGCGAGGAAGGUGCAGCCUCUCCUCCUCCAGCAGGAGCCACCGGGCCUGGUCCGCGGGGGGAGCAGAGGCUCCUGCUGUCCGGGUUUUCCAUUCGGAGCUCCACGUGGCACAAAAUCCCAUCGGUUUCCCUGCCAGAGGGAGCCAGGUGGAGAGAACAAUAAAAAGCAGAAGGCGCGGGGUGGGGCGGGAUGGUCCAGAGCGGAUGCAGAGGAUGGAAUUAAUCAGCUGUCCGGGAGGAAUAUUAGAGCUCUUCGGCUUGUCGUCAACGCCUUCUCCUCCUUCCCAAAGACAGACACAAUGAGAGACCAAGGAACAUUUCCUAUUGUUACAGGGGAUUUGUCCACAAGGUCCAGCCCCAUGUGGAAGUCAUUACCGGCUGGGAGUGGCAUCUCGAGGGAGACUGUCACCAUAGCAGCCCAGCUCCCAGUCCAGGGAUCGCUGUGGGCUGAGGUACGAAGUGUUUUGCUUAAUAUCACCCCUUUGACUGAGCCAAAGUCCUGAGCACUCCUACGAGAAGCCAUCAAGGGUAGCUCCGCGCCAACAGGAACGGAUCAUGAAUUUCACUGCUGCUACCGAAUGGGGAAGGGAGGGACAGUUACGUCAAGGUUUUCUUUUCCCUGCCUCCAACCCUCCCUAGAUAGAAAACCGAAGAGUGGCUACAGCAACAGCUGUACAAAGCACGAGGUGAAGAGCUGACCACUGCCCACCUGCACGUCCUCCCGCUCCAGCAGAACUUGGCCUUCAAGAUCAUCCGUGGAAGAACGUAAUUAUCCGUGGGUGAGAGCCCAGGACUGAGUGAUCAGAGAGAAUCAACACCUCCGAGCUCCCGCAGGGAAGCAGAUCCUUUUAGACACGUUACAUCUAAGCCCAGUCGUUUCACGCUAAAUCAUACUUAAGUCAGCAGCAUCUCCAGAAGUGGUGACGUCAACGCCCUCAGGACAGCUGGCCUCGUGCACGGAGGAAAGGGGCACCUCGGAAAUCAAUGGGAAAUCAACAUCUAGGUAAAACACAGCCUCCUGUAUGACAAAGCCGCCCUCCCUAGGCCUCCCAAACCCACUCCUGACUUCCCCAGCCGUGAAGGAGCUGGGGAGAUAGAAGCAAAAUCAGCCGUGGGGGCUGGGGGUUGAAGUAAUCAGAUUAAGCCUGGUUUGGCCAUUUGGUCUGACAGGAACUGCAUAAUGCAUCCAAGGAGAACUGAGGGGCCAGGGGAACAAGUGAUAGGCAACAGGCAGCUGGCCUACCUGCUAAAUGCCACCCACCACUGCUGUCACCUUUAGCACAGAAAUAUUUCUGCCAGAGAUCUCAAACCACAUCGAACAAGCAACUUCUAGGCUCCCAAAAAGCAGAGGUGCCACUUCCACCUGGAUGUUAUUUGGAACACGUGUACAACUCCUUUAAAUGCUUGCCUCUCUCGAAUCAGCCUCUCCAAAACCACUCAACGUAUAAAUACACAAAUGAGGAGCAAUAACAACACUGAAAGGUGUCUUAUCGAUACCCUAACCAGUUGCCUUCCACCUAGCAAGUUUUCUCUUUCACACAGCUGGCUUUUGUUAGGUUUCCAUGAGGGUAGUGACAGAGGUGACCUGUGGGCUGUGUCAGGGUGUCCAUCUCCAGGAGAUGCCUUACCCCAAACCCAGCUUCAUGCAACCACCUUCAGAAAACUGCAGUAUCUAAGGGGCAAGGCUUUGAGAGGAAAAGGAGGGCAGGCACAUAGUCAAGGGGACUUCUGACAACACGGUGGGGCAGGCAGCAGCUUCUGGGUUUUUCAGAAGCUCCAUGAGCAUCAAGCACAACUACCAUGCUUGAAGAAGAGCGCACACGGCUGGUCUCAGACCACAAGUCCCCGAACAGCGCUGGGGGAGCAGAAGACCAUCACCACAGGGGCUGAUCAGGAGAAACAAGGACUCUCUGCCACCCCGGUGCAUUAUACGACAGCAGCCUCCCAAAAGCCUUUUUUUUUUUUUUUUUUUUGCAACGGUGAUUAAGCAGAUUUCUCCAGCCUCCUGUCCUUGCUGCAGGGCCCAACCCACAACACACCAUUUCUUGCCUGUGUCAAGCUCAGUGCACAAAGAAGCCCUCACAAAAAUCGAGUCCAAGCACAGUGGUAUGAUGCUGUGCUCUGUUUUCUUAAAAAUAAAUAAAAAUACUUGUUAUUCUUCCAUGGAAAAUGAACAUGGGGAAGAUCAGCAUGGUCAGCUCAUUUAUCUCCAAGAAAUUUCUUCUUAAUUGAGCAGGGUGUCCCUCCCCACAGGACAGCUCUCAGCUGGGUAUUUUUACAAGUAUGAACAUUGCAGCUUUUUCUUGUAAAUGGUGUGAAUGUUCUCCUCUAUUUAUGUCCUACAAAACCUCAUUUUUACCAACAUUUAUGCAUCAUAACACAUAACCCUGAUCCUGCAAAAUCUCUACAUGGGCACAGAUUUGUGUAUGCCUGAGAUCUCCCUGGCUUCAAUGAGCUAUUCAUCUGCAGCUUGCUGAAGAGGCUGAAACUGUACUUAUGUUUUAUGUACGUAGAAAAAUUAUUACAUAGCAAUAGGGUUCAAACAGGAGCCCCCAGAUUCAUCAGAUGUCUGACUCGCUUGGUACACACAAUAUAAAAUGGAAACAGGGGAUGGGAAACAUAAUAAGAUGUAAUAAAAAUGUCCUUAAAUGUUUCAGGUUAUUGAAAAAAUCUCUCUUUGUAAGCUCUCUAACUUUUGAAAUCAUGAACAUGCAUUCUUACAAAGUUAGACUUAAAAGUAGCUUAUAUUUAAUUUAAAAUUGCAUUGUUCCAAUUAUACCUACAAAAUACACACAACACAUACAUGUAUAAAAUGUAUUAUUACACUGUAAAAUGUAUAUUUAUAUUAUUUAAAUUAAAUCUAAAAUUAAAGUCAUACUGAAACUAAAUGUACUUGUUUGCCAUAUGUCUUGAUAGGACAGGCUAUGCUCAUUCUGUAAGACCAAAGAAUAUAAAAAUAAAGGCUAAGUAUUGAAC